GAUAAACGCUGGCGGCGUGCAUGAGACAUGCAAGUCGAACGAGUGAUCCCGGGCUUGCCUGGGAUCGCUAGUGGCGAACGGCUGAGUAACGCGUGGGUGACCUGCCCUGAAGUGGGGAAUAACUGCCCGAAAGGGUGGCUAAUACCGCAUGUGGUGACACGUUCGAUCGUGUGACCAAAGCCGCAAGGCGCUUCGGGAGGGGCCCGCGUCCGAUUAGCUCGUUGGUGGGGUAAUGGCUCACCAAGGCGACGAUCGGUAGGUGGUCUGAGAGGACGAUCACCCAGACUGGGACUGAGACACGGCCCAGACUCCUACGGGAGGCAGCAGUCGGGAAUUUUGCUCAAUGGGCGAAAGCCUGAAGCAGCAACGCCGCGUGAGGGAUGAAGGCCUUCGGGUUGUAAACCUCUUUUCUCAGGGACGAUGAUGACGGUACCUGAGGAAUAAGCCACGGCUAACUACGUGCCAGCAGCCGCCGUAAAAC
rnacentral:rRNA from 1 species